rnacentral:rRNA from 1 species
AGAGUGAACGCUGGCGGUAGGCCUAACACAUGCAAGUCGAACGGCAGCACAGUGGUAGCAAUACCAUGGGUGGCGAGUGGCGGACGGGUGAGGAAUACAUCGGAAUCUACCUUUUCGUGGGGGAUAACGUAGGGAAACUUACGCUAAUACCGCAUACGCCCUUUGGGGGAAAGCCGGGGAUCGCAAGACCUGGCGCGGAUAGAUGAGCCGAUGUCGGAUUAGCUAGUUGGUGAGGUAAUGGCUCACCAAGGCGACGAUCCGUAGCUGGUCUGAGAGGAUGAUCAGCCACACUGGAACUGAGACACGGUCCAGACUCCUACGGGAGCAGCAGUGGGGAAUAUUGGACAAUGGGCGCAAGCCUGAUCCAGCCAUACCGCGUGGGUGAAGAAGG